UAUAAAUGUCACAUGUACAAAAUCUACUGUGAAGCAAUAUGCUGUCAUAAUUUAACACAGGAUUUUCCACUUGUAAUCCAAAUUGUGUGAGUUUUCCAAAUAAAAUUUGUGUUGCCUGUUGACUCCAAAUAAUAUAAUGGGGAGAGUUCAUGUUUUAGUAUGGGAAACCCCAAAAUCACUCCGAUCAAAUAUAGGUGUACAGCUUCGUGUCAUGUAGAAUAAAUUGCUUCGCCGAGCGCAGCUGGAUACGACCACAGAGGUCCAACCCUGAACAGUUAGGGCAAAAAUGGACACAAUAUUCAUGCUUGAUACAGGUCUGAAUUUGGAUUGAAAUUAAAUGUUUGACACAUAAUAGGUUUCUGACACAGAAUAACUGUAGUCAAAGAACUUAGAAUUGGUUAUAUGAUUUGAAUUUAUAUUCAAUUUUUUGCUUUUGUGCAAUACACUAUGCUGUUGCAAAUUGCUCCCCCCCCAAAAAAAAAUAUUUACCCCCCAACCCUCCUUUUUUUUUUGCUUUUGUGCAAUACACUAUGCUGUUGCGAAUU